rnacentral:tRNA from 1 species
GGCUGGGUAGCUCAGUUGGUAGAGCACGGCACUGAAAAUGCCGGUGUCGUCAGUUCGAUUCUGACCCCAGCCACCA